CGUGGUUGCAGCAUUCGCGAUCCACAUAGAUAUAAAAGUGGUUACGGUACAAAGACCACCUAGAAGCUUCGUGUGGCUACAACCAACCAUUUUCAUGACUAGAAGAGCAAUUCUCAUAUAUUGGAAGGAGAGCGACCGGUAUCAUAGAAGUAAUGGGUACCGGAAUAGCCUCGGUCAUCCAAUAUCCCGCCAUUAACAGUAUCACGAACGCGCAUCUGGACUGCUUUUAAAAGGAUAAAACAACCAAUGUAAAAAGAAGUAUUUUCAGUAUCAUCCGAUUAAGUAAACAAUGUUUUCUUCUUUUAUUUAUAUGAAAGAAUUAUAUAAGAUUUUCAAUGAGUUAAAAAUCAUACGUACUGGGCAAUCGUAGAUGUAUACAAUAAUUGCAAGAAACAUGAACCAAAUUAAUGCGAAGAUCAUGCGCCAAUAGAAGCGAAAGAAGUUAUUGGUGUUUAUCCAAAAUUGUUUAUUUGUAUUACUAAGAAGAACGAUUAGUUGAAUAAUAUUAAAUCUAAACUAAGACUUUAUAGGGUUAUAUCAGAGAAAUAGGCAAAUAGUAACUUUUGUUCCUCGUUGGCUUCUUCCCCUGUCUCAAGACUCUCUUCUUUAACAUUUUUUCGAGCCAUUAAUUAAAGAAUUUCUACGAGUUUCUCUGUACUUUGUUCUUUUUUUUUUUUAUUUUAUACGGAAACCAAGUUUUUCGUCAUAAACUUGUCCAUAUAAAUGAUGCGAUAUAUCGAUUUGAUACGUCCUUUUGGUGUUAAGUUUCAUUCCAAAAGAAACGUUAUAUACAUGACGUACAAUAACAUUUGAACUUAACUUUCUAUAUUCAAUUGUUGAUAAUACAUUAGAAUUAUUAUAUAGCGUUAGAAAUAUUAUCAAUAAUAGAAUAUAUUAAUAUAGAGUAUAUAACUUUAUUGAUAACGAUUUUAUGAAUACAAUUUAUUAUUAUCAAUAUAUGAACUUAAUUACGAUCUUUGAUAAUCAUUGAUAUAUUUUUAUUAAUGUAUCGAAGGAAAUUAUCAAACAUUUUUAUGUACCGAAUCUGUACCUUAACUUAUGACAACGUUACUCUGUCUAUAUAUAAAGCGAUUAGAGCGAAUGAAGUUAACACAUUUUUUUAAUGGUAUUAAUUCGCCCAAAUAAUGAAAAAUUUCUUUUUAAAAUGUCUGUCGAUGUGAAGUUUUAGAACGAGUCGAUAGCAAAAUGUGGUUUGUCGUCGAUUUGAGAGAUACUAGUAAGGAAACAAGAGCAAAAAAAAAGGGAAAGAAAGGAAGGAAGGAAGGAAGGAAGGAAGGACGGAAGGGUGCAGAGAGGUGAAGGGAAGUUUAGUCUCACGCUGAUUCACUGGAAGAUUCUAAGCUGGCUGAUUCAGAAAAAGAGACGAAGGAGGGUGGCUGGUGAGGUGGCGUGUUGCUAGACAGAGAGGGUGGGUUAAAGUCGGGAAAACAAAAAAAGAAGCGACGCACCCUCGGUAGACUCGGUGGCAGGGAAAAUCCGUGGAGUACAAUAAAAAAAAAAGAAGAGAAAAAAGAAAAAAGAAAAAAGAAAAAAGAAAAAAGAAAAAAGAAAAUCGAAAAGAGAAAAAGAGAGAGAGAGAGAGAGAGAGAGAAAGAGAGAGAGGGAGAGAAAGAGACAGAAAAAAGAGAAAGCUCGUUGGGGGACGAUAGGUCGGUUGAGUAGAGAGGCCGGAGUUUCGAGGACCGAAGGGGGUGAAGUAGAAAGGGAUAGUCAAGAGAAAGAAAGAAAGAGAACGAGCGUGACGAAGAUGGCUGAAAAAAUAGAUAGAAAUGAAUAUGUAUGUACAGGGUGAACUGUGUAAUAUUACUAACUUUAGUUCUUUAAAAAUAUAUAAAAUUUUUUCUUCGUAAAAA